GUGGGGAAUAUUGGGCAAUGGGCGAAAGCCUGACCCAGCAACGCCGCGUGAGGGAAGAAGGCCUUCGGGUUGUAAACCUCUGUCCUUGGUGACGAAAAAAAUGACGGUAGCCAAGGAGGAAGCCCCGGCUAACUACGUGCCAGCAGCCGCGGUAAUACGUAGGGGGCGAGCGUUGUCCGGAAUUACUGGGCGUAAAGGGUGCGUAGGUGGCCUUUUAAGUUGGAUGUGAAAUCCCCGGGCUUAACUUGGGUGGUGCAUCUAAUACUGGAGGGCUAGAGUGCAGGAGAGGGAAGCGGAAUUCCUAGUGUAGCGGUGAAAUGCGUAGAUAUUAGGAGGAACACCAGUGGCGAAGGCGGCUUUCUGGACUGUAACUGACACUGAGGCACGAAAGCGUGGGGAGCAAACAGGAUUAGAAACCCUGGUAGUCC
rnacentral:rRNA from 1 species